AUUGAACGCUGGCGGCAUGCUUUACACAUGCAAGUCGAACGGUAACAGGGUGCUUGCACCGCUGACGAGUGGCGAACGGGUGAGUAAUGCGUCGGAACGUGCCGAGUAGUGGGGGAUAACGCAGCGAAAGUUGUGCUAAUACCGCAUACGUACUGAGGUAGAAAGUGGGGGACCUUCGGGCCUCACGCUAUUCGAGCGGCCGACGUCUGAUUAGCUAGUAGGUGAGGUAAAGGCUCACCUAGGCGACGAUCAGUAGCGGGUCUGAGAGGAUGAUCCGCCAAACGGGGACUGAGACACGGCCCAGACUCCUACGGGAGGCAGCAGUGGGGAAUUUUGGACAAUGGGCGCAAGCCUGAUCCAGCCAUGCCGCGUGUCUGAAGAAGGCCUUCGGGUUGUAAAGGACUUUUGUCCGGGAGCAAAUGCCUGGUGUUAAUAGCACUGGGAGCUGAGAGUACCGGAAGAAUAAGCACCGGCUAACUACGUGCCAGCCGCCGCGGUAAGAC
rnacentral:rRNA from 1 species